CGGAGGUGGGGCCCGAGUUCCUGUCUCCAGCCCACGAUUUGCCGAUCCAUCUGUCUUCCUCAGAGAGAGAGGGCGGAUAAUGCAGACUGCGCUUCCUUGGAAGACGGCAGGCUCCAGGCCAGACAAACGAAUGUAUCAACCAUACAGAUGAAGAGCUGAGGCUCAGGGAAGGAAUUUGCCAAGGUCACGAAGCUGUAAGACACAGAACCUGGGGUGUCUGCCUGUAGAGCUCACACUGACUCUACAGCCACUGAUCCAAAGCUUCAAUGAGCAAGAGAUGAAGUGACCCCUCCAACCCCACAGCUCAGCGUCUUUCUUGAAGCUCCAACUCCAGGGCCAUUGUUUUCCUGUUCUCCCCGCUCCAAGGCCUCUCCUCUCUCCUUGGCCCAACUCUCUGACAGUGAUGCAGCCUUUUUUUCCUGACUACAGCGAGCAACAGCUGUUUGAGAUGGUGGAGCACAUUCUUGCUGGUGAAAGGAAGCAAGGUCAACAGAGACUCAUAGAGGAAACAUUCAACAACUUGAACAGUAAGCAAGUUGCAGUUUCCGUCUCAGUGGACUGAGGUGAUACAGCAGAUUUUGCUGUGGACCAAGAUCCAGUUUUCCUCAUAACACUCACAGGCAAGUUGAACAAUCAUAACGGAACUCCUUGCCUGCAGAGAGGGGCUGGAGUCUCUAGAGUUCACGUGAUUCUAUUGCCUAAGUCUCCCACCCGGUUUGAGUUUCUAACUCCUUAUAUCUAGGUUGCUUUGCAUUAUUUAUUGCCUGAUUCUGUUCAGAAUUCCCUGCAAGUGUAUCCCAUCCCCAUAUAUCCUUCCUGUCUAAUGGGACGACAACUCUCAGCUAUUUAAUGACACCCAGUUGGAUUCUGCACUUCUCUAGUG
rnacentral:lncRNA from 10 species